rnacentral:misc_RNA from 1 species
GUGUAUAGGAGACAGGUGAAUCAUCGAAUCUUUGAACGCACAUUGCGCCCCUUGGUAUUCCAUGGGGCAUGCCUGUUCGAGCGUCAUCUACACCCUCAAGCACUGCUUGGUGUUGGGCGUCUGUCCCGCCUUCGCGCGUGGACUCGCCCCAAAGUCAUUGGCAGCGGUCUCUGGCACCUCAACGCGCAGUACAAUGCGUUCAUUGGGGUGCCGUGGGCGCGUCCACUAAGCUUUUACCGUCUUUGACCUCGGAUCAGGUAGGGAUACCCGCUGAACUUAAGCAUAUCAAUAAGCGGAGGA